rnacentral:rRNA from 1 species
GAUGAACGCUAGCGGCAGGCUUAACACAUGCAAGUCGAGGGGCAGCAUGAUCGAACUUUCGGGUUUGAUUGAUGGCGACCGGCGCAAGGGUGCGUAACGCGUGAGCAACUUGCCCUCAUCAGGGGAAUAACCGUUGGAAACGACGACUAAUACCCCAUGGCAUCAUAAGGAGGCAUCUCCAUAUGAUUAAAGAAUUUCGGAAACGGAUAGGCUCGCGUGACAUUAGAUAGAUGGCGGGGUAACGGCCCACCAUGUCUACGAUGUCUAGGGGUUCUGAGAGGAAGGUCCCCCANACUGGAACUGAGACACGGUCCAGACUCCUACGGGAGGCAGCAGUGAGGAAUAUUGGUCAAUGGUCGAAGGACUGAACCAGCCAUGCCGCGUGAAGGUGACGGCCCUAUGGGGUCUUAAACUUCUUUUGCAAGGGAGCAAUAAGGUCUACGUGUAGACCGAUGAGAGUACCUUGCGAAUAAGCAUCGGCUAACUCCGUG